rnacentral:rRNA from 1 species
ACGGCUACCUUGUUACGACUUCACCCCAGUUAUCCGUCCCGCCUUCGGCAGCUCCCUCCUCUCGGUUGGGUCACUGACUUCGGGCGUUACUGACUCCCAUGGUGUGACGGGCGGUGUGUACAAGACCCGGGAACGUAUUCACCGCGGCAUUCUGAUCCGCGAUUACUAGCGAUUCCAGCUUCAUGUAGUCGGGUUGCAGACUACAAUCCGAACUGGGACGUUAUUUUUGGGGUUCGCUCCAUGUCGCCAUCUCGCCUCCCUUUGUUUACGCCAUUGUAGCACGUGUGUAGCCCAAAUCAUAAGGGGCAUGAUGAUUUGACGUCGUCCCCGCCUUCCUCCAGGUUGUCCCUGGCAGUCUCCCCAGAGUGCCCGACUCUGCUCGCUGGCUACUGAGGAUAAGGGUUGCGCUCGUUGCGGGACUUAACCCAACAUCUCACGACACGAGCUGACGACAACCAUGCACCACCUGUCUCCCCUGUCCCGUAGGCCUGGCGACUUUGCUCGCCAUCCAGGGGGAUGUCAAGACUUGGUAAGGUUCUUCGCGUUGCUUCGAAUUAAACCACAUGCUCCACCGCUUGUGCGAGUCCCCGUCAAUUCCUUUGAGUU